rnacentral:hammerhead_ribozyme from 1 species
AUCCAAGUGACGAGUCCCAAAUAGAACGAAAUACGCUUCUUGGAU